rnacentral:rRNA from 1 species
ACGAAGCUCUGCGAUACAAGACUUCGGUCAAGUUGAACGGAUGACUUAGUGGCGGACGGGUGAGUAACGCGUGAGGAACCUGCCUUUCAGUGGGGGACAACAGUUGGAAACGACUGCUAAUACCGCAUAAUGUAUUCUGACCGCAUGAUCGGAAUACCAAAGAUUUAUUGCUGAAAGAUGGCCUCGCGUCUGAUUAGAUAGUUGGUGAGGUAACGGCCCACCAAGUCGACGAUCAGUAGCCGGACUGAGAGGUUGAACGGCCACAUUGGGACUGAGAUACGGCCCAGACUCCUACGGGAGGCAGCAGUGGGGAAUAUUGGGCAAUGGGGGAAACCCUGACCCAGCAACGCCGCGUGAAGGAAGAAGGCUUUCGGGUUGUAAACUUCUUUUACCAGGGACGAAGGACGUGACGGUACCUGGAGAAAAAGCCACGGCUAACUACGUGCCAGCAGCCGCGGUAAUACGUAGGUGGCAAGCGUUGUCCGGAUUUACUGGGUGUAAAGGGCGUGUAGGCGGAGAAGCAAGUCAGAAGUGAAAUCCAUGGGCUUAACCCAUGAACUGCUUUUGAAACUGUUUCCCUUGAGUAUCGGAGAGGCAGGCGGAAUUCCUAGUGUAGCGG